rnacentral:misc_RNA from 1 species
CCGAGUUUACAACUCCCAAACCCCUGUGAACAUACCUAUCGUUGCUUCGGCGGGAUGCCCCAGUCUCUCGCAGACUGGACCCAGGCGCCCGCCGGAGGACCCAAACUCUUGUUUUUAUAUGUAUCUUCUGAGUAAACAAGCAAAUAAAUUA